GGAAGGGUGGCCGAGUGGUCGAUGGCGACGGUCUUGAAAACCGUUAUCCGCUCCAUGCGGAUCGUGGGUUCGAAUCCCACCCCUUCCGCCA
rnacentral:tRNA from 6 species